rnacentral:rRNA from 1 species
GACGAACGCUGGCGGCGUGCUUAACACAUGCAAGUCGAACGGAAAGGCCCUGCUUUUGUGGGGUGCUCGAGUGGCGAACGGGUGAGUAACACGUGAGUAACCUGCCCUUGACUUUGGGAUAACUUCAGGAAACUGGGGCUAAUACCGGAUAGGAGCUCCUGCUGCAUGGUGGGGGUUGGAAAGUUUCGGCGGUUGGGGAUGGACUCGCGGCUUAUCAGCUUGUUGGUGGGGUAGUGGCUUACCAAGGCUUUGACGGGUAGCCGGCCGGGGAGGGUGACCGGCCACAUGGGGCCUAGGGGACGGCCCGGACGCCAACGGGGGGAAGCGGGGGGAAAUAUGGCCCAGUGGGAGCGAGCGGGAGAAGGCAGCCCCCGGGGGGGGAGGCCGGCUUUCGGGUUGAAAACCGCUUCCGCUUGAGACGAAGCGGGAGUGACGGUAAUGGAAAAAGAAGCACCGGCUAACUACGUG